rnacentral:lncRNA from 1 species
AUGUGCUUCACCGAAAAGCUGAAAUUGCACAAACGUCUGCAGCAGAAUUUUUUGAUGCAGAUAGUUUCCAUUAUACUUUGCUGUAAUUUCCAACUCACAGCAGUAUAGAGGAGUAUAUUAUUUUGUUUCUUGCAGCUGGCAUGCUUGGCACACAGUUUGGAAGCUUAUUCAAAGACGAUAAAAUUCCAUAACGCCUCCUCAGUAGUCCCUGUCACUGACUGUGGCUUUUUGUUUUUUUGAAGGUGGUGACAUGUCCCAAUGCUUCCUUCACUGACCUGGCAGAAAUUGUGUCCCGCAUCGAGCCCGUCAAACCUCCUCUUGUGGAUGAAGAAUCCGACUACCACACUGACUAUGAAGAGGAUGCACUGGAGAGUGCUCUCUCUGACAUGGAGAUGUAUAAUCGCUAUGGAGAGCACACUGAAGGGGAGGAGACUGCUGACACGAUUGAACAAAGAAAAAUGGGGACGACUAUGCACGCCUCAACCUGAUUCUCAGAAUGUAGAACUGGAUGGGAGAUCAACACGCUCCAUUACCCCGCCCACCAGCUGCCACCAUCAGCGUCCGGCUAUCCCUAACAGUUCACUGGAAGUGAUGUCAAACCAGCAAGUAAAUUCCAAGUAGUCCGUUUUUGUGAAUGGUGGAGUAAUAAAAGUUGCUUAAACAGGUUGGCACAAUGUAAGCAUUCUGUCUUUGCUACAUUUUACCCUCCAAUGUGAACCACCAGACUCUACCUGCAAGACUUGUCCUUUUGUCUUCCGUGACAUCAAAUGGUCAGACUUUUAGAAAAAACAAUCUGUAGUAUGAAUUUCACACCUACAUGU